AGCUGCUUGGUUGUCUAUGUUCAUCAAAGGUGCUCUCUCUUUUCCAUCUUUCUUUUUAUUUACUUAAUCCUAGAUGGGUGACUACUAAUUUCCAUGUCUACUGGGAGGAAGAAGGUUGGCGGACGUAUCUUUGUGACUAUGUCAUUCACGUGCUUUGUUUCAACUCAUAAAGUGGAUCCUUUUUAAGCUAUAUCAAAUCAUAAGACAUAAUUUUCAGUUGAUUUUUUUCUUCUAAUUCCCAGUUUAUUGCUUCACAUAGACUAUUACAUAUUUAUGCUAGCCAAUUCAAAGCUUUGUCCCAAGGGCAAGCAUACCAUUGAAAAAAUAAAUACAUGUAUGACAGAUCAGCCAGCAACUUGUUGAUCUGUGAUUCUUUGAAAUUUGAUGCUUAUAACUGUUUAUAAGUCAGUAUUGUUCAGAGCCAAAGAUAAGUAACAAUCUAUUUGGUUAAGUUGAACACUUUCAGAUCAGGAGUAGUAGAAAUUCUUAAGGGCAUUGGGAUAUUGAACUGCAGAUAGCUUCGGCAGGUUUGUUAGGCUAAUAUAAAGUAGGGACCUUUGCUACAUAAUGAUACAAAGAUGAUACCGAAGGUUGUUUUGCAACUAGCAAGUUUCAAGGUCACAUGGAUGCUGACAGCUCUCAGGUGUAUGGCCUAUUUGUUGCUGGGUAUUGUUGCCUUUCUUCCUGGUUUAUACAGCGGAGGAUCCUGAGUUGAUGCAUAUAUUGGCUCAAAAAGUAACUAGGCUCUGAAGUGCAGAUUGACAAGAGCCAUCCAGGGGCCAGGGCGAUUAGAUGCCCAUCACUCACGGCGGCAAGAAGUUCCGUGUCGAGUUGAUGAACCAGCACCAGCUGGGAGCCCGGAUGAAGAAGGUUGUCCCCGCGGGGAAAAAGGAGAAGUGAUGAGAUGUUUUUGACAGCUAAUGGAUGAUGUUAUCUUAGUCUGUGAAUUUUUGUUUUGGUCGAUUUAGAAACCUUGUUUGAUGUCUGAAGAUCCCUUUUUGCCCACUGUUCAAACCAUCUCUUCAUUUUUGUGUAAAUGGUAACAAUACACUUCAAACAAUUAAGUUGUCAUCCCAAAAAAUAUUUUGUAAAAGGAUGUACUUAUCGCCUCAAUAAUCCUUAAUCGUCACGUAGAUUUCAUUUUCA